rnacentral:rRNA from 1 species
AGCAGCCGCGGUAAUUCCAGCUCCAAUAGCGUAUAUUAAAGUUGUUGCAGUUAAAAAGCUCGUAGUUGAAUUUCGGGGUUUAUCCGUUGGUCGGGCUUUUGGGUCUGUACUGGCGUGAUGGAUUCCUACCUUCUGAAUAACCAGCAUGUCAUUAAUUUGGUGCGUUGGGGAAGCAGGACUGUUACCUUGAAAAAAUUAGAGUGCUUAAAGCAGGCCAUUGCCUGAAUACAUUAGCAUGGAAUAAUGGAAUAGGACGCAUGAUUCUAUUUUGUUGGUUUCUAGGAUCAUCGUAAUGAUUAAUAGGGAUAGUUGGGGGCAUUAGUAUUCAAUUGUCAGAGGUGAAAUUCUUGGAUUUAUUGAAGACUAACUUCUGCGAAAGCAUUUGCCUAAGGAUGUUUUC